rnacentral:rRNA from 1 species
AUUGAACGCUGGCGUCAGGCUUAACACAUGCAAGUCGAGCGGAGAUUAGAUGCUUGCAACCUAUCUUAUCGGCGGACGGGUGAGUAAUGCUUAGGAAUCUGCCUAUUAGUGGGGUACAACAUUCGGAAAGGAAGGCUAAUACCGCAUACGCACUACGGGGGAAAGCAGGGGAUCUUCGGACCACGCGCUAAUAGAUGAGCCUAAGUCGGAUUAGCUAGUUGGUGGGGUAAAGGUCUACCAAGGCGACGAUCUGUAGCGGGUCUGAGAGGAUGAUCCGCCACACUGGGACUGAGACACGGCCCAGACUCCUACGGGAGGCAGCAGUGGGGAAUAUUGGACAAUGGGCGGAAGCCUGAUCCAGCCAUGCCGCGUGUGUGAAGAAGGCCUUUUGGUUGUAAAGCACUUUAGGCGAGGAGGAGGCUACCUGGAUUAAUACUCUAGGAUAGUGGACGUUACUCGCAGAAUAAGCACCGGCUAACUCUGUGCCAGCCGCCGCAGUAAGAC